AACUCUCACUCCUCAUCUUUCUUUAUUGAGAGGUAGGGACGUGGAUUUGGAUCUGUUGCUGGUGAAUCUGAUUCAUCGGCUCAUCCGAAAUAUAUUAGCUGGAUCCUCUUUGUCAAUUGGUUCUACUCGACGUAAUAAGUAUUUCGUCGAGGACGGUCUUCGGAUCGGCCGAUAGAAAGAGUCUUUUAGAUCCGCUUCUAAUCCGUGCGAUUUUAUUAUCCACACUUUUUUAUG
rnacentral:misc_RNA from 1 species